UCCGGGGUCGGAACCACAGCGGGCGCGUGCUCCCCGCGCGCCGCCCUUCCCGGAGCCGGAGCGGGCUGCCUCCCCUGCAGGAUGCAUUUUUCCUGCCGUCAGGGAGGUAAUGAAGUGUUGUGAUGUAAAAGUCACCUCUGGGGGAUAGUCACCAUUAGUAAGCUCUGUGCCCAGCUUGAGGCUCGAACUCAUGACCCUGAGAUCAAGAGCUGAAUGCUGUACCAACUGAGCCAGCCAAGUGCCCAGAACAGGACACAGAGUAGGAGAGAGAAGUCUGAGGGCAGUGCAUGAGACCGGCUCACUUCUUCCUCGCCGAGGGAUUGUGACCUAAUGCAACCAUGCUGAGAAACCAAAGACAACUUCUUUUUAUUGCUUGUGGUCAAACAGCAAGUUCAUUUUGCCAUGGGAUGAUCAAACGGCCAGCCUCCCCCGGCUUGAGAAGGGCCACCUGGGAAAACAGCAGGCUGUUGCUGUGGACGCUGGAAAGAGCUGAGCUGUCAGUUUGCAGUCUAACUGGGCUUCCACUGGUCUUUCUGCAAAAUUUCAAGCACCAAUUCGACUGCUUUCUUAUCAACACUGCUGCUCUUGUGGGAACAUGUCUUCCUGGUUCAGCCAAGAAUUCUGCUGUCUGGGAUUGUUCAGGACAAAACCACAGUGCCCGUGGGGGGUGGUGUGUCUGUGUAAACCUGAACAUCAGAUUGCACUGGUAGGGCAGGUCCUUUGUUGGCCAGGCUUGACACCUUGUAUUCUUUCUUUCUCAGGCUGUGAAUAGAACAUGAUUUGGCAUCGGCCAAAUCCAUCUGCACAGAGUGAAAAGGAAGGCGCUAGGUGCAGGAGAGGGAGCCGGCAAAAGAGGAGGGAGUGGCUAAAUGAAUGAAAGCCUGAUGAGACCAUUGUGAAGAUUAAAAAGGCCUGUUUGUUAAACUGUGACCCCUUUAAAGGACAGUACAGGUUUUACCAAAGCAAGAACCCAGCCGGGCUACGGCUAAUUGCUGCCAUGUUUCUGAACGGUCUGCCUUUGGUAAGUGAUUUCCAUGGGAACAUGGCUGGCACCACGAGGAUGCAGCCGGAGGACAUGGGGGAGGGGAAGGCAGGGGCCCUCUGUUCACCUCCUCAGCCCCCCUGGCCCCAGCAGUCCCUGAAACCUCCCUGAGGAUCACAGAGUUAUGGGAGGAAGCUCUGUUCUCAGAGGCAGGGCACCCACGCCUGCACCUUGGCUCAUUGCUCACCUGGCUAAAUCACAUAGCCUCUCAGCCUUUGUGGAGAUCUCUUGCGUAUUUGGAAUAAAGGCACUAAUAUUCCUGAGCCACUUGAUCGGGUUGUUUGUGAGGCCUAAAAUAAUACCUGUGAACACGCUCCGUAAACUGGGAUGAGCCUCGUGCAGGGGACUAUUGCCACGUUAACCUUAAUUUCUGCUCUUUUUUCUAGGCUGAGUUGCAUCUUGUUUCUCUCUUUGAAAACUCCCUUCCCCCGUGGCUGGUCAGUUUCCACCAUCCUGUACCUCUGGAUCAUGCUUGAGCUCUGACAUUGUACUGCUCCGUCUCUCUUGGUGGGGGAGCACGAAGGGACCCUCUUCCCUGAACAUCUAUUUCUCUUCCUCAGCCCUGUCUCCUUCAGAUCCCUGCACACAGGUUGUCACCUGUCCAUGAUGAAUGUUUAGUGAAGGGUCUUCUGGAUUCUUGUUCUUCACCCCCUACUGGCGGGGAAUGAGGCCUCUUUCUUCCUUCCUACCUACCUCGAUGCAAAGCAUUCAAUGAACUCCUUCAAAGGAAUCUGAGGAGUCACUUUGUCCUCGUGGGAGCACAUGCCCCCUUCUGGCCUUUGCUCCUUUCGCUGCCUGGUCCAGCUUACCCUGCGUCUUGACAUCAAUCCCUGCAUCUGACACAGCCCCCAUCCGCUGGAGUAUCGGCUUCAUCUGGGCUUUUUCGGUGUGAGGCCCAGCCAGCGCUGUCCCCAAGCCUCCCGUGCAGGUGUACAAUGUAGUGACUCAACAAUUCUCUACAUGACUCCAUUCUCAUCAUGAUUUCUGUUUCCUGGAUGGGCUGUGGCUCCCAGCAGAAUACUGAGUGAUCACUUUGUGAAGGGAGUCUUGGUCCUGAUCCUCAUGAGGUAUUAGUUUAUUGUCCUUACCAGUUUACUAGUUAUUGUGCUCUGAGCUGUUAUUCUGGUCUCAAUGUUCUUGAUCAUAUUAAGAUACAUGUUAGUUUCAGAAACGGUCUUGUGUACUUAUCCUGAAUUUUCAGCUUUUUUUUUUUAAAGUUCAAUUUUUUUUAAAUUUCUAAAAGCCCGUUGCUUUUGUAUUCUGUAUUUUUUUUCAUUUUUCGUGAUCAAAUUCUUCAUAUUCCAUUUAUUCUAUGUCCCUAGUCUCUUCUGAUUUACUCUAUUUAUUACUACUUUUAAAAUAAUUUAUCUUUGAAUCCAAAAAGUGUCUCAUGACUGGAUGGUACAGACAAGGAGAGGAAAGAUCAAGGGUACCAAAUAAUCUUCGGGUAAAACAUCAAAUGUGACAGAUUUUUUAAAAAUUCCACUUGUUCACCUGAAAAGAAAUUGAUUGAUGACUGGCACACAGAGGAGAAAAGCUGGUAACUACCACUUUGGCUGACUUGUAUGUGCAAGAUACAAUUAAAUUAAAGAGAAAUGAUCACAAAAGCCCACCACACACACACACACACACACACACACACACACACACACACAAUAAUGGAGUUAUUUCAAAAAGACAGAGGAUCAAAGUGUAAGAGCUCCACUGACUACAGGUGGAAAAUAAAAAAAAGUAGUAUUGCACUAUGAGCCCAAGUACGAAAUCGGAGUCCAUACUUCUACAAAUAAGUGACUGAAUAAAUAAAUCAAGGGAGGGGGAGGGAGAAGAGACCAAUCUCCUGUGCAGAAGAAAUCUGAAUAAGUUAUGUACAUGCUCAGACUCAAGGAGGUGGAACAUAACUCCCCGUUCCUCAAGUGUCGCUGGGCAUGGUGACUUCGUUCCAGAGGAUGCUGUAUGGAAGAGAGGGAAGAAGAGCAACUUCACAGUGGAGAAACCUGGUAGACACCAUCACCUCAGUCAGGUGAUCAUGGUCAACAUCAAGCCGGAAAAGUCAUGUUGAUAACAUGUGCCCUUCGUGUGUGAUGACACUGGCCCUUGACUUGCAUUGUCUUCCUCUCCCAAACUCAGAACCCUAGAUGCAUCCUCACGGAGGGACAUUCUACAAAAUACUGACUUGUGGUUGUCAAAGUCACGGCAUACGUGUGAGGAACUGUCACAACCAAGAGGAGCCUAAGGAGACAUGACAACUGACUGUCGGAACACAAAAAGCAUAUUACGUAAAAUUCCAUAAAAACUAAGGAAAUGUGAAUGAAGCAUAAUCUUGAGUUACUAAGAAUGUAUCAAUAUUGGUUCAUUAGUUGUAACAAAGAUACUAUAUUAAUUUAAGGUGUUAGUGAUAGAGGAAACUGGGUGGGAGGUAUAUGAGAACUUUUUUUUUUUUUUACUAUCUGCAGUUUUUCUGUAAAUACAAAACUGUUCUAAAAAAUAAAGUUUAUUUACUUAUUAAAAUUUUUUUAACAUUUAUUUAUUAUUGAGAGACAGAGCUUGAACAGGGGAGGGGGCAGAGAGAGAGGGAGACACAGAAUCAGAAGCAGGCUCCAGGCUCUGAGCCGUCAGCACAGAGCCCGACCCUGUGCUCGAACUCACAAACUGCAAGAUCGUGACCUGAGCCGAAGUCGGCCGCUUAACUGACUGAGCCACCCAGGGGCCCCAAUAAAGUUGAUUUAAGAAAUAAUCACACCUUAAUUCCUUGGUGUUCUUAAAGCUGCGAUUACCACACACCAUGGUGGAACCCAACUGUAACUCAUGAAUGGCUAGCCCUGGUUGGCAUUCCAACCAGCAUUGCAUCUGGGACUGAUUACCAAUGUACCUUUGUCUCCUAGGUGAUUGCUUGGUUAUAGUUCCAUAGAGGGUACUCAGUUAAAUUUUAAAUGCUCCUCUGAGAAAACAGCAAGAACAAAUGGACAUAACUUGCAGUCAGAAGGGGUUGAGUUAGAGUUCUGGUGUGCUGUGAAGUCAAGCUAUGUGAUGUUCCUAGCUAGGUAUCUUUUAAAGGGUGAGUUGACCAUAGGUCAGUUUGGGUAGCCUGGCUUCAGCACGUCUUCGAGUAAAUCAGGCAAGAAAAUGAACUGUCGGGUGCCUGGGUGGUUCUCUUGGUUAAGCAUCUGACUCUUGAUUUUGGCUCAGGUCAUGAUCUCACAGUGGGAUCAUGUGGCAUCCAGACUCGCGUCGGGCUCUGCCCUGAUAGCGUGGAGCCUGCUUGGGAUUCUCUCUCUCUCUCUCUCUCUCUCUCUCUCUGUCUGCCCCUCCCCCACUUGUGUACACAUGCUCACACACUCACUCUCUCCCUUAAAAUAAAUAAACAGAAAAAAUGAAUUGGUACAGUUUCCAGGAGGCCCUAAGAGUUUUUGUAUCUUAAGCCAAAAAUUGCCAUAAACUAAAAAUUGGUCUAAGUGGUUCCAAUCACAUAGAAAUUGUUCUUCAAAUUGUCUCCAGUCUCUGCCAUUCUCUCCAUCAACACAUGAUUUAUUAAUUUUGUUUCAGAGACUUGAGUUCAGGCUGCAUAAAUCAUGAAUAAAGAUUAGUUUAACAGUCACAAUGCCCCCUGGGACAAUGUUUCAAGUGAAGAAAACUCAAAAUUGUCGCAGAGUGAAAAUAAUAUGACAGUUGUAUCAAUAUUUGCAAACUGAAGCGAUAUUCAGUACCCUUAAAGAGGCGGGGAAUAAAUUCUAUUCCUUCUCAUUUUAUGCAAACUCCAGAACUUUCCUUUUUAAUUUUUUAUCAAUAUUUUCCCCUUUGAGAAUGUUUUGACAACAAGUCUCAGUUCACCCUGAUCUGCCUCCAGCUGUUAAGCAAAUCAGACACUGACCUCUUGCUACUGCCUUGAUGACUUAAAUACUUUAGAGAAACAAUGUAUUACCUGGCUCCCAAGCCAUUCACAGUAAUGACAGUUUGCCAUCUUUAUGCAUUAAAAAACGAGAGAACUGUCUGUUAGUGUGGCAAAUACCAUGG